CCUACGGGAGGCAGCAGUGAGGAAUAUUGGUCAAUGGACGAGAGUCUGAACCAGCCAAGUAGCGUGAAGGAUGACUGCCCUAUGGGUUGUAAACUUCUUUUAUAAAGGAAUAAAACGAGGCACGUGUGCCUUUUUGCAUGUACUUUAUUAAUAAGGAUCGGCUAACUCCGUGCCAGCAGCCGCGGUAAUACGGAGGAUCCGAGCGUUAUCCGGAUUUAUUGGGUUUAAAGGGAGCGUAGAUGGGUUGUUAAGUCAGUUGUGAAAGUUUGCGGCUCAACCGUAAAAUUGCAAUUGAUACUGGCAGUCGUGAGUACAGUUGAGGUAGGCGGAAUGCGUGGUGUAGCGGUGAAAUGCUUAGAUAUCACGAAGAACCCCGAUUGCGAAGGCAGCUUACUAAACUGUGACUGACAUUGAUGCUCGAAAGUGUGGGUAUCAAACAGGAUUAGAUACCCGAGUAGUC
rnacentral:rRNA from 1 species